AUUGAACGCUGGCUGCAUGCCUUACACAUGCAAGUCGAACGGCAGCAUGAUCUAGCUUGCUAGAUUGAUGGCGAGUGGCGAACGGGUGAGUAAUACAUCGGAACGUGCCCUGUAGUGGGGGAUAACUAGUCGAAAGAUUAGCUAAUACCGCAUACGACCUGAGGGUGAAAGUGGGGGACCGCAAGGCCUCAUGCUAUAGGAGCGGCCGAUGUCUGAUUAGCUAGUUGGUGAGGUAAAGGCUCACCAAGGCGACGAUCAGUAGCUGGUCUGAGAGGACGAUCAGCCACACUGGGACUGAGGCACGGCCCAGACUCCUACGGGAGGCAGCAGUGGGGAAUUUUGGACAAUGGGGGCAACCCUGAUCCAGCAAUGCCGCGUGUGUGAAGAAGGCCUUCGGGUUGUAAAGCACUUUUGUCCGGAAGGAAAUCGCACUUACUAAUAUUAGGUGUGGAUGACGGUACCGGAAGAAUAAGGACCGGCUAACUACGUGCCAGCAGCCGCGGUAAUACGUAGGGUCCAAGCGUUAAUCGGAAUUACUGGGCGUAAAGCGUGCGCANGCGGUUGUGCAAGACCGAUGUGAAAUCCCCCGGGCUUAACCUGGGAAUUGCAUUGGUGACUGCACGGCUAGAGUGUGUCAGAGGGGGGUAGAAUUCCCACGUGUAGCAGUGAAAUGCGUAGAGAUGUGGAGGAAUACCGAUGGCGAAGGGCAGCCCCCUGGGAUAACACUGACGCUCAUGCACGAAAGCGUGGGGAGCAAACAGGAUUAGAUACCCUGGUAGUCCACGCCCUAAACGAUGUCAACUAGUUGUUGGGGAUUCAUUUCCUUAGUAACGUAGCUAACGCGUGAAGUUGACCGCCUGGGGAGUACGGUCGCAAGAUUAAAACUCAAAGGAAUUGACGGGGACCCGCACAAGCGGUGGAUGAUGUGGAUUAAUUCGAUGCAACGCGAAAAACCUUACCUACCCUUGACAUGCCACUAACGAAGCAGAGAUGCAUUAGGUGCUCGAAAGAGAAAGUGGACACAGGUGCUGCAUGGCUGUCGUCAGCUCGUGUCGUGAGAUGUUGGGUUAAGUCCCGCAACGAGCGCAACCCUUGUCUCUAGUUGCUACGAAAGGGCACUCUAGAGAGACUGCCGGUGACAAACCGGAGGAAGGUGGGGAUGACGUCAAGUCCUCAUGGCCCUUAUGGGUAGGGCUUCACACGUCAUACAAUGGUGCAUACAGAGGGUUGCCAAGCCGCGAGGUGGAGCUAAUCCCAGAAAAUGCAUCGUAGUCCGGAUCGUAGUCUGCAACUCGACUACGUGAAGCUGGAAUCGCUAGUAAUCGCGGAUCAGCAUGCCGCGGUGAAUACGUUCCCGGGUCU
rnacentral:rRNA from 1 species